UGGGGGAUAUUGCACAAUGGGGGGAACCCUGAUGCAGCGACGCCGCGUGAGGGAAGACGGUUUUCGGAUUGUAAACCUCUGUCUUUAGGGACGAAACAAAUGACGGUACCUAAAGAGGAAGCCACGGCUAACUACGUGCCAGCAGCCGCGGUAAUACGUAGGGGGCAAGCGCUAUCCGGAAUUACUGGGUGUAAAGGGAGCGCAGGCGGCGUGGCAAGUCAGAUGUGAAAACCCGGGGCCCAACCCCGGGAGUGCAUUUGAAACUGCCAAGCUGGAGUGCCGGAGAGGUAAGCGGAAUUCCCGGUGUAGCGGUGAAAUGCGUAGAGAUCGGGAGGAACACCAGUGGCGAAGGCGGCCUACUGGGCUUUAACUGACGCUGAGGCACGAAAGCGUGGGUAGC
rnacentral:rRNA from 1 species